rnacentral:lncRNA from 1 species
GCCGCACGGGCCGGCACCGGGACCAGGCGCCCGCGCGGGCACCGCAUUGGGCCGGGCUCGUCGCCUACCUCGUAGGGGUAGCAGCAGGGCAGGCACGCACAGCGACUGGCCCACGGCGAUGGCCAUGGCAGCGGCUUGCGCGCACCGGCGUCAUCUAGACCAUCGUGAUCAUGUUGCGCGUCGCCGUCGUCAUCGCUACACAGGCGGACCCCGUAGCGAUCUUGGAGCAGGGCGUCGACGACGGCAAACGGCACCGCCGCACGGAGGCACAGGCAAAAGAGCGCUGGCACGGCGCCGUGGGCCUCGUCCGUAAAAGCCGCAAAGACGCGCGUCACGGGGAGGGCGUCGAGGACCCGCGCGGUGUGCUCGUCCAGCAAGUCCCACGCCGCCGAUCGCAAUGUGGCCCCGCCGCCGCCCGGUCGCCUCUGUUUUUCUUGUUCUUUACGCAUUUCCUUCUUUUUUUCCUUUGUUCUUUCCGUCUCUGUCUCGGCGCCUGGGGAGGCCACGCGCGACACAAACCGAAUCGGAACCCGCGACUUUGGCACGCAAGAGCACAAGAGGAAAAAAAGAGAAGGCGCGUGUCAAAAGGCGGACCCCCUGGUCGGCGUUGGGACGGGGCCUUUUUCAAAGAGAAUAAAAAACCAACGGUCCAAUA